GACGAACGCUGGCGGCGUGCUUAACACAUGCAAGUCGAACGCAGUGGCGACCGGGUGAGUAAUACGUGGGUACCCUGCCCUCCUUUUUGGGAUAAGCCUUGGAAACGGGGUCUAAUACCGAAUCACGGGGGAUGGGCUCGCGGCCUAUCAGCUUGUUGGUGGGGUGAUGGCCUACCAAGGCGGGGACGGGUAGCCGGCCUGAGAGGGAGACCGGCCACAGUGGGACUGAGAGACGGCCCAGACACCCACGGGAGGAAGCAGGGGGGGAGAUUGCACAAUGGGCGAAAGGCUGAGGCAGCGAAGCCGCGGGGGGGAUGAAGGCUGUCGGGUUGUAAACCUAGUUCGCUAGAGAACGGGUAGGUGGAGAAGAAGCGCCGGCUAACUACGUGCCAGCCGCCGCGGUAAUUC
rnacentral:rRNA from 1 species